rnacentral:rRNA from 1 species
GAUGAACGCUGGCGGCGUGCCUAAUACAUGCAAGUCGAGCGAACAGACGAGGAGCUUGCUCCUCUGACGUUAGCGGCGGACGGGUGAGUAACACGUGGAUAACCUACCUAUAAGACUGGGAUAACUUCGGGAAACCGGAGCUAAUACCGGAUAAUAUAUUGAACCGCAUGGUUCAAUAGUGAAAGACGGUUUUGCUGUCACUUAUAGAUGGAUCCGCGCCGCAUUAGCUAGUUGGUAAGGUAACGGCUUACCAAGGCAACGAUGCGUAGCCGACCUGAGAGGGUGAUCGACCACACUGGAACUGAGACACGGUCCAGACUCCUACGGGAGGCAGCAGUAGGGAAUCUUCCGCAAUGGGCGAAAGCCGGACGGAGCAACGCCGCGUGAGUGAUGAAGGUCUUCGGAUCGUAAAACUCUGUUAUUAGGGAAGAACAAAUGUGUAAGUAACUAUGCACGUCUUGACGGUACCUAAUCAGAAAGCCACGGCUAACUACGUG